UACGUAGGGUGCAAGCGUUGUCCGGAAUUACUGGGCGUAAAGAGUUCGUAGGCGGUUUGUCGCGUCGUUUUGUGAAAACCAGCAGCUCAACUGCUGGCUUGCAGGCGAUACGGGCAGACUUGAGUACUGCAGGGGAGACUGGAAUUCCUGGUGUAGCGGUGAAAUGCGCAGAUAUCAGGAGGAACACCGGUGGCGAAGGCGGGGUCUCUGGGCAGUAACUGACGCUGAGGAACGAAAGCGUGGGUAGCGAACAGG
rnacentral:rRNA from 1 species